UCUGGCAUGCAACAAGGAUGGAGGACCACUGGGGUAGACAAACUCUGGCCUCCAUGAGGGCCUCAGAACAGGCCUUCUCCACCUCCUUAUCCUGAAGGUGUACUUCUCCAGCGGGGGCAGAAAUCACUGAAUUAUUCACCACGAUCCUCUGAGAGACAGGGUUAAACUACAGAUUCCUGAGCAAAGCCUAGAACAUGCUGGGAGGCCUGCUCUGUUGCCCAGACUGGAGUACAAUGGCAUGAUGGUAGCUCACUGCUGUCUCAUACUCUUGUGCUCAAGCGAUCCUCUUGCCUCAGCCUCCCAAGUAGCUGGGACUACAGGUAUGAGCCACCUCACCUGGAAAGCACCAUUUAGUUUUAACAGUAGAUGAAGUUUGCAAAGAAGGCAACAACAGUUCCUCCCUUCCUUACAUUCAUGUUCCUUUGCUGCUCCUUUCAUUGAGAACUGGAGUCUAUUUCCACCCCCUUUUAAAUCUUGCCUGGCCUUAUGCCUUGCUUUGACCCAUCAAAUGUAGUGGAAAUAAUAUCAUACAAUUGGUAAGUGUAGGUCUCUACAUGUCUUGUAACUUUCGUUCUCAUUCUUCCACUGCCCUGAGACCUUUUUGUGAAUAAAUCUGAUAGGCAGCUGCAGAGGCCAAUAAAUGAGGUCUGAGGUGCUGCAGUCAAUGCCAGGACCAAUGAGUGCUGUGGGUGGGGCCACCUUAGACCAGUAAGCCCCAGUUGAGCCUUUUGAUGCUGGUGCUGUAGCUGCAUGAGUGACCUCACAAAAGACCAGGAGAAGAACUGCCUGGCUGAGCCCAGCCCAACUGCUGCCUACAGAAUCAAGAACAAAUGAAAUGUUUGCUGUUUCAAGCUACUAAGUUUUGGAGUGAUUUGUUACAGUAGAUGCAGUGUGAGAAGCUUGAGUCUUCUGUUGUUUGCAGUCUCAGUCACCUCAACCAAAUCACUUAAUUCUAACGGCCUCUGUUUCCUUCUUCGUGAAAUGUGGAUAUUUUACUAAUCUGUCACCAUUGAUUGCAGGUUUCAGAUUUUUAGUUUCAACGAAUAAAAACCCAACUCAAAGAGGCCACCGAAAUGAAAGGAGUUUAUCAGCUCAAGUAACUGAAAAGUCCAAGUUGUGGAGGCAAACAGGCCUGGAUUCAGCAUCUCAGCUGCUCGCUAGCUGGGGCUGCAUCAUUUUACUCUUCUAAGCAUAUUUC